AUUGAACGCUGGCGGCAGGCCUAACACAUGCAAGUCGAGCGCGCGGCGGACGGGUGAGUAAUGUCUGGGAAACUCCCUGAUGGGGGGGGAUAACUACUGGAAACGGUAGCUAAUACCGCAUACCAUCAGAUGUGCCCAGAUGGGAUUAGCGAGUAGGUGGGGUAACGGCGCACCUAGGCGAAGAUCCCUAGCUGGGCUGAGAGGAUGACCAGCCACACUGGAACUGAGACACGGUCCAGACUCCUACGGGAGGCAGCAGUGGGGAAUAUUGCACAAUGGGCGCAAGCCUGAUGCAGCCAUGCCGCGUGUGUGAAGAAGGCCUUCGGGUUGUAAAGCACUUUCAGCGAGGAGGCGUUACCAACAGAAUAAGCACCGGCUAACUCCGUGCCAGCAGCCGCGGUAAUAC
rnacentral:rRNA from 1 species